CAGGUCACUGAGAAGCAAACCUGCAGAUGCAGUAGACGGCUGGCGCCAUGGCCUCAGAUGCAAGUCACAUGUUAGAAGCAGCCUUGGAACAAAUGGAUGAUAUUAUUGCUGGUUCCAAGGCUGCGGUGGGGUUCAGUAAUGGGCUGUAUGAUCUGGGCUCUCCUGUGAGCGCCGGGCCCCUGCCGGUUCUCCAGCUGGCUGAGGAGCUGAGACUGGCACUGGAGCUCCAGGUCAGGGACAAGGACUGCAACUCACUGCGCUCCCAGCUGCCCUGCACCACCGCACAGACCCUCAUGGAGUGGCUGGAGAAAGGAUCGGUUAACCUCCAGUGCUCAAGCAACAAUGAGACCUAUCAAGAGCGGCUGGCGAGAUUAGAAGGCAACAAAGAGUCUCUGGUUCUCCAGGUGAGUGUUCUCACUGACCAGGUUGAAGCUCAAGGGGAAAAGAUCAGAGAUCUGGAAAGUUCCCUGGAAGAACACCACCACAAACUCAUUUCUACUGAGCAAAUGCUUCAACAGGAGCUCCUUAGACGAACCUCACUGGAGACACAGAAACUGGAACUCGUGGAUGAAGUUUCCUAUCUGAAACUCAAGCUAGUCGGCAUGGAGGAGGAACACAACCACAAUGAUGAACAGGAGAAACAUAAUAAAGCUGAGAGUGUGGUUAAUCUAAUUAGUGAACUACAGGAGCAGAUGUGUAAAUUCCAGGAGGAAAUCAGCAAUCGUAUCCAGGAGCAGCGAGCUCGGGAGAGCCUGGGCGAGAAUGGCACACGCGAGGCUCUCGACCAGAGCCCCGAUGUGGGCCUUGGUGCCUCUGAUGCUGAGGAAUGCAGCUGCCACUGUAGAAGUGGAGGAGAGAAUGCUUUGUUACAAGAGCUUCACCUUCUUAAGAGCAAAGUUGAAGAACUGGAGGGUGAGAAAUCACAAUAUGAAAGGAAGCUCAAAGCCACUAAGACUGAGAUUGGCAAACUCCAGCAGCUGCUUGCUACGAAGAAUGCUGAAAUUGAGUGUUUACAGAAUCAGCUUCUGUCCCAAGGAACCGUCAAAGAUGACAUCACAGAGAGAGAUCAAGAGCUGCAGAGGUUAAAAACUGGAAUGGAGAUGCUAAUAGCUGCCAAUAAUGAAAAGGAUCGACACAUAGAGGAACUCAAUCUUCUGUUGGUCCAGUACAGAAAAUUAAAGGACAGCUUAGCCCUUUCUCAAGUGACCAACAAUAUGUUGCUGUCUGGCAGCAGUGAGGAGGAUCUUAAUGGCACUCGAAAAAUAAAAACCCUGACGCAUAAAGCAUACUCUGACAUUGUCAGACCGGAGCUACAGAUGUCUUCCCGAGACCCGUCGCCACUCCUGGUGUCUACAUGUUUCCAGAGGGAGCUGGACUCCAGGUCAAUACCACGGAUGCUGUCCACCAGCUUAGAAGAACUCCAAAGUGGAAGUUUACAGAUGCAUGUAGUGGGCCAACCAGUAGAGGCUGUUUUAGAGAACCGAUAUAAAUCUGAAAAUAACAAAUAUCAGACGCUUCCGGGCAAGUUUAGUCGUCCAGAGCAGAAUGGAGUGAGACUGCAGCCGUCUUCCCCACUGCAACUGUCUCCUGAUGAAAGUGAAGGCAGCGAAUUCAACCUGAGAAAGGCAGAGAAGACGGAUGAUUCGACCUUGUCUGACCUUUCACCCAUGUCGUCUGGACUAGAAUCAGGUCAGCAGUCUCCCGUUUCACCAGAGCACAAGAAGAACCAGAAAGGCAUUCGUAAAAAACUGUGGGGAAAGAUCAGGAGAACACAGUCAGGUGGUCUUCCUGCAGACGAAUCUGAUUCUGACUUCAAGCGAGGGGGUUUCAGGGCCACGGCCGGCCCUCGACUCACCUGCCUGAGCACCAAUGCCUCAGCACGUGACAGGAACAUCCCCUUCUCAAAAUGGUCUUGUGAUCAGGUGUGUGCAUGGAUGGAGGAGUUUGGUCUGGUUCAGUACGUGAAUAUGGCCAGACAGUGGGUCACCAGCGGUCAGACUUUACUCUCCUCGCAGGACAUUGAGAAGGAGCUGGGCAUUAAACAUCCACUUCACAGGAAGAAGCUCCAGCUGGCUCUGCGCUCCUUCAGCACCAGAAUCACAGAGAAAUCCUCUGAACUGGACCACAUCUGGGUCACGCGGUGGCUGGAUGAUAUUGGUUUACCACAGUACAAAGACCAGUUUAGCGAAGGACGUGUGGACGGUAGAAUGCUGCAGUACUUGACAGUGAACGAUCUGCUGUUUCUGAAAGUCACCAGUCAGCUGCAUCAUCUUAGCAUCAAGUGUGCUAUCCACGUCUUACAUGUUAACAAGUUCAACCCCAGCUGCCUCAAAAGAAGACCUGGAGAUGAGAAUAAGACAUCGCCUUCUGAGGUUGUUCAGUGGUCCAAUCACCGUGUGAUGGAGUGGCUCAGAUCAGCUGACCUGGCAGAAUACGCUCCCAACCUGAGAGGCAGCGGAGUGCAUGGAGGACUCAUAAUCUUGGAACCUCGUUUUAACUCGGACACACUUGCGAUGCUCCUGAACAUCCCCCCUCAGAAGACUCUGCUGAGGAGGCAUCUGGCCACUAAUUUCAACAUGCUGGUGGGCUCUCAGGCUCAGCAGGAGAAACAAGAGUAUCUGGAAUCAUCAGGAUACACGCCGCUAACAACCACUGCUAAAGUCCGGCCACGUAAAAUAGGUUUCUCCAGUUUUGGCCACCGUAAGAAGCGUGCUGAGGACUCCACUGACUACAUCUGCCCUCUGGACGCUUCACCACCCCAGGCCCUGCUCAAUGGGGCCAACCGACCCUACAGCGGCAUCAGGGGUCUGAGCCCCACCUUUGACAGGGACCCACCGAGACGGGAGCAGAUGUUGCACACUAAAGAAUCAGGGAUGCAGGUCGAGGCCUUUUCAAGGGGAAUUAACAACCUCACAUACUUACUCAGCCAAGACGAGUUGCUGAGAGGAAUGAGACGCAGCCAGACCGCCAUAGUGUGAUCGGCCUGGGUCACAUUAACUCCACCGUCCUGCUGAGAGUGUACCUCAACCUAACCCACCUCACCCUCAAAGCUUCAGGACCUGAACUGUGUAACACAAUCCUACAUAAUUCAGCUCAAGAACACAGCUCUACUAUUUUUGUUAUUGUGUUACUAAUUAUUUUGGAGGCGUUAUGAGGUUAUGAUGUACUGUAUGACAAUCAGAUCGGAGUUAAAGAGCAAACAAAAAAAUGAUUGUGUAAUACGCAGACAGCACUUUUCGCAAAGCCUUUCUGUCAAUAGAUAAAAUCAUCUACCUCAACCAUUGUGUUUUUCUUAAAGUAUUCGUAUAGCCAGUUGAACUGCAUGCUAACUGCAUUGCUUGAUAUACCUCUGUUAAAUCCAUCCCAAGAGUUAAAAGGGGUUUGUUGUAGUAGGGGGCUUUAAUUUGUGUAUGAAGACUUGUCCAGUGUCCAAUGUGUCCCAUAAUCCAACCGACAAACACUGUGACAAACUUUAAGAGGUCCUUAUUCAUAUAUGUUGAGCUUUAAAUGAGCAUACUUAUCUUAACAGGACUCCAAAGAGGAGAAGAAAACUCAGACCACAGGUUCACUCUCAACCAAUACCAAAGAAAGAAUAAUAUUGUUUAUAAGGGAAACCACACUUUGAACUAGACCGGCUGGACUGAAGCAAACAGAUCUCCAGUAAGCCAAAACCAGCAUUUUCAGAACCUUAUGGGCUAAACCCAACAAAACAACCUCGCCAGACCUCAUCCAGAACAAAGGAGUGUCUGCUUUUCAGGGAACCGGAGAACAAGUUCCACCCAAGUCCUUCAACCCUAAGUGACAUCUUUCUGAUGAACUACUUCAUCCUGCACAGCAGCAAUCUUACCGACAUGUUCAACUGCACGGCAAUGACCCCAGAAUAGAAGAUCCGGCUGGGUGCCAAUUGGGUCUGGGAUCAGCCGAGCAAGAACCCCCAUAUCCAGAUGGUGGCCCAGGUUCUCUUAUAAUGCUACUCUGUGCAGUGGUCACUGGUCUAUUAAAACGCACCACAUAUUAAAGUUUCUUUGGAGUUUCCAUAUGUUUUAUUCAAAACAAAACUUGAAAUUGAGGGAUUGUGAGGUCAUUGGCAGGCGACACAUUGACACUCUGGACACGGUCAAAAAUUAGUUCAGAUACACUAGUAAAAUAUGCUCAUUUCUCUGGAUUUAGACAUUCUUCAAAACAUUUGGGAUAUGCAAGUCAGCAAAAUAUAUGUUUUUGUUUUGUUUUUUGUGGAUAUUUUAAUUAAAAGAAAAAAAAAAAACUUACAUAUUGUGCCUUUAACCCCUUUAGGAUUAAAUAAUUAGUUUAUCAGGUAAAAUAAAGAUGGAAUCAGCAGACUAAUCUCGAAUUCAAUAAUCCAGCCAACAUGCACCAGCCUUUCAUUAAUCAACAACAAAUUACUUUAGUUUUGCAGAAAUAGCAGAGAUUCCCCUUUCCUUACCUUUGACUGUUGACGUUAGUAACAUGUUUUAUGUUGGUAAUAAUUUUACCACCAACGCAUAGGACUUAAUAUUUUAGUUUUCAUGACUUAAAGUGUAUUAUAUAUAAAUAAUGAGACAAUAAUGAUUGGUUAAUAAUAAUCAUGGUUUCACUGAAUAAAAUAGCCUACAUAAUGUUGGUAAUACAAAAUAAACAAUUUUCGUUAGCCUAUGUGCCUGCAAAGGGCAUCAAAGGCCAGAUAAUUGCUGUUGUUACACUUAUGGGACGAUCAAAACCUUGGUUAAUAAUGACCAAACCUUUAACUCAAAUAUCCAUUUAAAUUUAGGCCACCUAAUUGCGAUAGGAAUGUUACAGCCUCUUUUUUUUUUUUUCAACAAAAACGUUGACAUCACAAUCCUUACCAAAAGUAACCAUGGUUUUAUUACAGUAAAACUGCCUAUAUUUAUUUUGAGUGAUUUCUGAAUGCUUGAGACUAAAAAAGUCGAUCAGACAACUGUAUUAAAAAAAAUCAUAACCAUAGGUAACUGUCUCUAGAGCUAUAUUUGUAAUUUAUUAAUAAUACAAUUUAUUUAUCUACUUUUAUGUUUUAUUAAAGUUCUAUUAUAACGCCCCAAAGUAGUUUUUAAAUUAGGCACGGUCACUUUUAAAGAAAAUGCAUCCAUCGUAAUGAUACACAUCUGAUUUCUCUCAACUGUUUACUUUUCACACUUACCUAACCGUUUUUUCGAACACACUUACCAAGAUGAGUAUUUUGAAAUAUUUUGUAUGCAUUUGUCAGUACAAAAGCAAGAGUUGUUUCUUUAUUUUAGAGAAGCACAUUGUUUUGUUAUGAUUAUACACAAAUAAAAGUAGACCCUUUGCAGUUUCAU